rnacentral:rRNA from 1 species
UCGUGGGGUGACUUGUCUGCUUAAUUGCGAUAACGAACGAGACCUUAACCUGCUAAAUAGCCCGCAUUGCUCAGGCAGCGCGGUGGCUUCUUAGAGGGACUAUCGGCUCAAGCCGAUGGAAGUUUGAGGCAAUAACA